UUUAUUGGAGAGUUUGAUCCUGGCUCAGGACGAACGCUGGCGGCAUGCCUAAUACAUGCAAGUCGAGCGGACUUGAUGAGAAGCUUGCUUCUCUGAUGGUUAGCGGCGGACGGGUGAGUAACACGUAGGCAACCUGCCCUCAAGUUUGGGACAACUACCGGAAACGGUAGCUAAUACCGAAUAAUUGUUUUCUUCGCCUGAAGAGAACUGGAAAGACGGAGCAAUCUGUCACUUGGGGAUGGGCCUGCGGCGCAUUAGCUAGUUGGUGGGGUAACGGCUCACCAAGGCGACGAUGCGUAGCCGACCUGAGAGGGUGAUCGGCCACACUGGGA
rnacentral:rRNA from 1 species